GAUGAAGAACGUAGCGAAAUGCGAUAAGUAGUGUGAAUUGCAGACUUUAGUGAAUCAUCGAAUCUUUGAACGCACAUUGCGCCCCCUGGUAUUCCGGGGGGCAUGCCUGUUCGAGCGUCAUUACAACCCUCAAGCUCUGCUUGGUAUUGGGCCCCGCCAGUUCUGGCGGGCCCUAAAGUCAGUGGCGGUGCCUUCCGGCUCCGAGCGUAGUAAUUCUUCUCGCUCUGGAGACCCGGUUGUGUGCUUGCCAACAACCCCCAAUUUUUUAAGGUUGACCUCGGAUCAGGUAGGGAUACCCGCUGAACUUAAGCAUAUCAAUAAGCGGAGGA
rnacentral:misc_RNA from 1 species